rnacentral:rRNA from 1 species
UACGUAGGGUGCGAGCGUUGUCCGGAAUUAUUGGGCGUAAAGGGCUCGUAGGCGGUUUGUCGCGUCGGGAGUGAAAUCCACUGGCUUAACUGGUGGCUUGCUUUCGAUACGGGCAGACUGGAGGUAUGCAGGGGAGAACGGAAUUCCUGGUGUAGCGGUGAAAUGCGCAGAUAUCAGGAGGAACACCGGUGGCGAAGGCGGUUCUCUGGGCAUGUCCUGACGCUGAUGCGCGAAAGCGUGGGUAGCAAACAGG